GACGAACGCUGGCGGCGUGCCUAAUACAUGCAAGUUGAGCGCUGAAGGCUGGUACUUGUACCAACUGGGUGAGCAGCGCACGGGUGAGUCACGCGUGGAGAAUCUGCCUUUGAUCGGGGGACCACAUUUGGAAACGAAUGCUUAUACCGCAUAAAAUCUUUAAACACGAGUUUUAAGGUUGAAAGAUGCAAUUUCAUCAUUCAAAGACGAUCCCGCGUUGUAUUAGCUAGGUGGUGAGGUAAAGGCUCACCAAGGCGAUGAUACAUAGCCGAACUGAGAGGGUGGUCGGCCACAUUGAGACUGAGACACGGCCCAAAGGCCUACAGGAGGCAGCAGUAGGGAAUCUUCAGCCAUCGGCGAGAGUCUGACCGAGCAGCGCCGCGUGAGUGAAGAGGGUUUUCGGAUCGUAAAACUCUGUUGGUGGGGUAGAAAGUUGGUGAGAGUGGAAAGAUCAGCAAGUGACGGUAACUGGCAAGAAAGGAACGGCUAACUACGUG
rnacentral:rRNA from 1 species